AAUACCCGGAGGGUGAAACCUCCUCCCUUCGCUCUCCGGGGUGACCAGCCAGCUCCUCCUCCCGCUGGCUUGUAACAGGAAAAGGCCGGCUCCUCCUCCCGCCGGCCUUUUCU
rnacentral:sRNA from 1 species